rnacentral:sRNA from 1 species
GCUGGGUGAGGUGGCACACACCUGUAAUCUCAGUGACUCUAGAAGCUGAGGCAAGAGGAUCCCAAGUUCAGAGCCAGCCUCAGUAAUUUUGCGAGGCCCUAAAUAAUUCAGUGGGAUCCUGACUCAA